UACGUAGGGUGCGAGCGUUGUCCGGAAUUAUUGGGCGUAAAGGGCUCGUAGGCGGUCUGUCGAGUCGGGCGUGAAAACUCAGGGCUUAACCCUGAGCCUGCUUCCGAUACGGGCAGACUAGAGGUAUGCAGGGGAGAACGGAAUUCCUGGUGUAGCGGUGGAAUGCGCAGAUAUCAGGAGGAACACCGGUGGCGAAGGCGGGUCUCUGGGCCGAGACUGACGCUGAGGAGCGAAAGCGUGGGGAGCGAACAGG
rnacentral:rRNA from 1 species